CCAAUAGCGUAUAUUAAAGUUGUUGCAGUUAAAAAGCUCGUAGUUGAAUUUCGGGAUCAAUUAGUUGGUCGUGCCUCUGGUACGUACUGGUUUUAUUGGUUCCUCCCUUCUGACGAAACAUGAUGUCAUUAAUUUGGUGUCGUGGAGAAUCAGGACUGUUACCUUGAAAAAAUUAGAGUGUUUAUAGCAGGCUAACGCUUGAAUACAUUAGCAUGGAAUAAUGAAAUAGGACGUUCGACCCUAUUUUGUUGGUUUCUAGGAUCGACGUAAUGAUUAAUAGGGAUAGUUGGGGGCAUUAGUAUUCAAUUGUCAGAGGUGAAAUUCUUGGAUUUAUUGAAGACUAACUACUGCGAAAGCAUUUGCCAAGGAUGUUUUCAUUAAUCAAGAACGAAAGUUAGGGGAUCGAAGACGAUCAGAUACCGUCGUAGUCUUAACCAUAAACUAUGCCGACUAGGGAUCGGAUGAUGUUAAUUUUUUAAUGACUCAUUCGGCGCCUUACG
rnacentral:rRNA from 1 species